GACGAAGGUGGCGAGCGUUACUCGGAAUUACUAGGCGUAAAGCGUGGGCAGGCGGUUCGUAAAGUCUGUUGUGAAAGCUCCCGGCUCAACUGGGAGAGGCCAAUGGAUACUCACGGACUUGGAUGUGGGAGGGGUCACUGGAAUUCCUGGUGUAGCGGUGAAAUGCGUAGAUAUCAGGAGGAACACCAAUGGCGAAGGCAGGUGACUGGACCACUAUCGACGCUCAUCCACGAAAGCUGGGGGAUCAAACAGG
rnacentral:rRNA from 1 species